UACAGAGGGUGCGAGCGUUAAUCGGAAUUACUGGGCGUAAAGAGCUCGUAGGUGGUUUGUCGCGUUGUUCGUGAAAACUCACAACUCAAUUGUGGGCGUGCGGGCGAUACGGGCAGACUGGAGUACUGCAGGGGAGACUGGAAUUCCUGGUGUAGCGGUGGAAUGCGCAGAUAUCAGGAGGAACACCGGUGGCGAAGGCGGGUCUCUGGGCAGUAACUGACGCUGAGGAGCGAAAGCGUGGGGAGCAAACGGG
rnacentral:rRNA from 1 species